CUGGGCGUACGGUAGCGGCAACCGGCGGGCUUUGGGAGUCCGAAGUCGCGGGUUCGAGUCCCGCCGCCCAGACCA
rnacentral:tRNA from 1 species